rnacentral:tRNA from 1 species
GCGGGGGUUGCCGAGUCAGGCCAAAGGCGCAGGGCUUAAGACCCUGUCCCGAAGGGGUCCGGGGGUUCAAAUCCCCUCCCCCGCA